rnacentral:rRNA from 1 species
AACGAACGCUGGCGGCAGGCCUAACACAUGCAAGUCGAACGCUGCAGCAAUGCAGAGUGGCAGACGGGUGAGUAACGCGUGGGAACCUUCCCAGUGGUACGGAAUAGCCCAGGGAAACUUGGGGUAAUACCGUAUAAGCCCCUAGGGGGAAAGAUUUAUCGCCAUUGGAUGGGCCCGCGUCGGAUUAGCUAGUUGUUGAGGUAAUGGCUCACAAAGGCGACAAUCCGUAGCUGGUCUGAGAGGCGGAUCAGCCACACUGGGACGGAGACACGGCCCAGACUCCUACGGGAGGCAGCAGUGGGCAAGAUUUAACAAUGGGCGCAAGCCUGAUCCAGCCAUGCCGCGUGAGUGACGAAGGCCUUAGGGUUGUAAAGCUCUUUUGGCGGGGACGAUAAUGACGGUACCCGCAGAAUAAGCUCCGGCUAACUUCGUGCCAGCCGCCGCAGUAA